ACGCCAUUCUGCCUCAAGCUUCCUAGUAGCUGGAGCUACAGGCGUCCGCCACCACGCCCGGCUAAAUUUUGUAUUUUUAGUGGAGACGGGGUUUCACUGUGUUAGCCAGGACGAUCUGGAUCUCCUGAUCUCGUGAUCUGCCCGCCUCGUCCUCUCAAAGUACUGGCAUUUACAGGCGUGAGCCACUGUGCCCGCCAACAUUUUUAAGUUCUACGCAUAAGCGAGAAAAUGUGAUUUUUGUCUUCUGUGUCUGGCUUCUUUUAUUAAACAUAAUGUCCUCCAGGGGCAUUCAUGUUGUCACAGAUGAUAGAAUUUCCUGGGUUUUUAAAGGAUAAAUAGUAUGUCAUUGUGUAUAUAUAUGCUACAUUUUUCUUAUCCAUUCAUCCAUUGAUGGACGCUUAGUUGAUGCCAUGUUUUGAGUGUCAUGAAUAAUACUGCCAUGAACAGCAGGAGUGCAGAUAUCUUUUUGACAUACGAAUUUCAUUUUUAAAUUUUUUUGGCUAUGUAUCCAGUAAUAGCGGAAUUGUUGGAUCCUAUGAAGGAGCCAGAGCCAGAUAGAAACAGGAGUGAGAAAGGUAGAAGAUGAAUGAUUGAGGAUGAAAACUCCUUCGAGAUUUUAUUUGACCAACAUCAAUUCAAUGAAAGCUGUGAUUAAGAGGUUUCACAUGGAUGGAGCUGGAAGCCAUUAUCCUCAGCAAACUAACACAGGAACAGAAAACCAAAUAGCACAUGUCUCACUUACAAGUGGGAGCUGAAGAAUGAGAACACAUGGACACAGGGCGGGGAAAAGCACACACCGGGGACUGUCAGAGGAGGGCAGGGGGAGGAAGAGCAUCAUGAUAAACAGCUAAUGCGUGCAUGGCUUAAUACCUAGGGGAUGUGUUGAUAGGUGCAGUCAACCACCAUGGCACACGUUUACCUAUGUAACAAACCUGCACAUCCUGCACAUGUGCCCCGAACUUAAAUUUAAUUAAAAAA